rnacentral:rRNA from 1 species
UACGGAGGAUGCGAGCGUUAUCCGGAUUUAUUGGGUUUAAAGGGUGCGUAGGCGGCCUUUUAAGUCAGCGGUGAAAGUCUGUGGCUCAACCAUAGAAUUGCCGUUGAAACUGGGGGGCUUGAGUGGGCGAGAAGUACGCGGAAUGCGUGGUGUAGCGGUGAAAUGCAUAGAUAUCACGCAGAACUCCGAUUGCGAAGGCAGCGUACCGGCGCCCAACUGACGCUGAAGCACGAAGGCGUGGGUAUCGAACAGG